AUGUGCUGCAAUGUGUUCAGCUGCUUCUGUAUCAGCUGUUCUCUGAAAGCAACUUUGAAUGCCGACGAGCCUAAGGACACCCUCCAGCCUGCCAUUGCACUUGAAGCAAGAAAUAAUGAUAGUAUCAGAAUGGUCUGUGGCAAGUGGCAGGAAGACACACCAGGGUUCAAAGGAUGGGGUGACAGCAAGGGCCUCCAACCUGUUGCACUAACGCAUGCUGUGAACACUGCAUCCAAGGCAAGGUCUUGCAGAACUGGACCAAGAGCCCCUGAGGUAAUAGGAGACAGGAGGGUUGCAGCCAUAAAGCAUCUUGGGGGAUCAGUGGAGAACGUGACGUGGCCAGCAGACCAGCUGAAGUGUCUCUACACCAAUGCACACAGCAUGGGCAACAAGCAGGAGGAACUGGAAGCUGUCCUGCUACAGGAAAGCUAUGACAUAGGAGCAAUUACGGAAACUUGGUGGGAGGACUCCUAUGACUGGAGUGUGGCCAUCGAUGGCUACAAGCUGUUCAGAAGGGACAGGAGUGGAAGAAGGGGUGGAGGUGUUGCCCUCUAUGUAAAGAAGUGGCUAGAAUGUGAAGAGUUGUUGCUAAAGAGUAGCCAUGACCAGGUCGAAAGUUUAUGGGUAGGAAUUAGGGAUUGGGACAACAAAGGGAGCCUUGUGGUAGGAGUCUACUACAGGCCGCCUGACCAGGCGGAGCCUGUCAAUGAUGCCUUCUUACUCCAGCUUGAGGAGGCAUCACGAUCACAGGCUCUCAUCCUGCUGGGGGACUUUAACCACCCCGACAUCUGCUGGAAAAGCAACACAGCUGGCUGCAGACAAUCCAGGAAGCUCUUAGAGUGCCUAGAUGACAACUUCCUGCGACAAGAAAUUAACAGCCCUACUCGAGGAAAUGCAUUGUUGGAUCUGUUGAUCACAAAUGCAAGUGAAAUCAUCAGGGAUAUCAAAAUUGAAGGUAGCCUAGGCUGCAGUGAUCAUGCCCUAGUGCAGUUCACUGUCCUAAGGAGUUUGAAGCUCACCAGAAGCACAGUUAGGACUCUAAAUUUCAAGAAAGCAAACUUCCAGCUUUUCAAGGAGUUAGUAAAUAGGACCCCAUGGGAAACAGCCCUCAGGGACAAGGGAGCGGAACAAAGCUGGCAGAUCUUUAAGGAUGCUCUCUAUAGAGCACAAAAGAUCUCAAUCCCCACAUGUAGGAAAAUGGGCAAGGAGGGCAAGAGACCACCAUGGUUGAGCCAAGACCUGCUGGUCAAACUAAGGGGCAAGAUGGGGCUACACAGGAAAUGGAAGAAGGGACAGGCAUCCUGGGAAGAGUAUAGGGAUGCUGCCAAGAUGUGUAGGAAUGAGGUCAGGAAGGCCAAGGCACAGCUAGAACUGAACUUGGCAAGGGACGUAAAGAAAAAUAAGAAAGGCUUCUACAGGUACGUUAACCAGAAAAGGAAGGUUAAAGAAAAUGUACCCCCCCUGAUGUGCAACAGUGGGGAACUUGUAUCAACAGAUGAGGAGAAGGCAGAAGUUCUCAAUGAC
rnacentral:lncRNA from 1 species